UCGGGAAUUUUGGGCAAUGGGCGAAAGCCUGACCCAGCAACGCCGCGUGAAGGAUGAAGUAUUUCGGUAUGUAAACUUCGAAAGAAUAGGAAGAAUAAAUGACGGUACUAUUUAUAAGGUCCGGCUAACUACGUGCCAGCAGCCGCGGUAAUACGUAGGGACCAAGCGUUGUUCGGAUUUACUGGGCGUAAAGGGCGCGUAGGCGGCGUGGUAAGUCACUUGUGAAAUCUCCGAGCUUAACUCGGAACGGUCAAGUGAUACUGCUGUGCUAGAGUACAGAAGGGGCAAUCGGAAUUCUUGGUGUAGCGGUGAAAUGCGUAGAUAUCAAGAGGAACACCUGAGGUGAAGACGGGUUGCUGGGCUGAUACUGACGCUGAGGCGCGAAAGCCAGGGGAGCAAACGGGAUUAGAUACCCACGUAGUCCCUGAGCGGGCUGGCAAGGCGCAU
rnacentral:rRNA from 1 species